UUCAUAUGUCAGCAACGAGGUGCCUUUGUCUAACAAGCAAGGGGUAACAGGGAAUCGGGUGAAAGUCCCGAGCGGUCCCGCCACUGUAACCGAGGAGUUCUCUCUCCAUGAUGUCACUCGAUCCGACUGUGAUCGGGGAAGACGAGAGAGCGCGAUGAUCCGGAAGCCAGGAGACCUACCUACGUUCGCUACACCCAA
rnacentral:ncRNA from 1 species